UGUUAAAUUUCUAUUCAUUUGUACUGUUAAAAGCUGACGUGAAUGACGGAAUAAUAGACAGUAACACGUGACAUGCUAUAUGUACCUCAUAUUGGCGUACAAUAAUCGAUUUUUAACACUAGAAAUGGGUGAAAUUUUUAAUA
rfam:Gossypium hirsutum cultivar TM-1 chromosome 14, whole genome shotgun sequence